UUACUGAACUUUGAACCUUGGGGGUCAAAGAUGAUGUCCGUGGCUACUACCUUGAGUGACCUCCAGGCACAAGCAACGACUGCACACUGGAGAGAAUAAGAAGGAGUUGAUGAAGAGCAGAAACAAAGAUGACGUUUGUCCUCAGUAAAGCAAGUCUUUACCUGACGGAGUCUACGAACACCAAGAGGACACGACUUCUUCUACGUCAGCCAGAGUGAGCGUGGAGCUCUCAUCACGCACCACUAAAGACAGCCUGUAGAAGACGACCUCUGCAGGUCCUCAUGGAGCUGGAGGGGGCGUGGCUUCCAGCUCCGGCUGAAAACCGGGAGAUUUUCGGGAGAAUAUUUGUCCCGGGAGGUUUUCGGGAGAGGCACUGAAUUUCGGGAGUCUCCUGGAAAAUUCGGGAGCGUUGGCAAGUAUGAUACUCACACAUUAUUUAUAUAUAUAUAUAUAUAUAUAUAUAUAGUUUGAAACACUGGGAAAGAUUCAGACAAACUAACUCACACACCUUUUUCCCUGCCAAUAUUGCAUUAUUUAGAUUUCACGUGGCGCAUGCUGAGAUGAUGUCACAUCCUGCAUGUCUAUACAAGACUGCAUGUAUUGUAUGUUAUAAACGUAGGUCUUAUAUUCCUUAUAUGAUAUACAUCAUAUGUUGUACUUGUAUUUAUGUUUAAGGUCUAUAACUGUGACUGAUGCAGUUGAUUAGUUGAUGACCUUUGACCUCAUGUAUCCAUUAGACACUUAGAUUGACAGGUGGGUGACAUACUCUCCAUCGUCGAAUCGCAGCCGUGAUUGCACGGACUCGCCCCCACCGGCCCGUGGACAGCAGACAUGUUGGCGCUUAGGGG